rnacentral:rRNA from 1 species
CACAAGCGGUGGAUGAUGUGGAUUAAUUCGAUGCAACGCGAAAACCUUACCUACCUUCGACAUGUCCGGAAUCCUGCAGAGAUGCGGGAGUGCCGAAAGGAAUCGGAACACAGGUGCUGCAUGGCUGUCGUCAGCUCGUGUCGUGAGAUGUUGGGUUAAGUCCCGCAACGAGCGCAACCCUUAUCAUUAGUUGCUACGCAAGGGCACUCUAAUGAGACUGCCGGUGACAAACCGGAGGAAGGUGGGGAUGACGUCAAGUCCUCAUGGCCCUUAUGGGUAGGGCUUCACACGUCAUACAAUGGUCGGUACAGAGGGUUGCCAAGCCGCGAGGUGGAGCCAAUCCCAGAAAGCCGAUCGUAGUCCGGAUUGUUCUCUGCAACUCGAGAGCAUGAAGUCGGAAUCGCUAGUAAUCGCGGAUCAGCAUGUCGCGGUGAAUACGUUCCCGGGUCUU